rnacentral:rRNA from 1 species
UACGUAGGGGGCGAGCGUUAUCCGGAUUUACUGGGCGUAAAGCGCGUUAAGGCGGUUGGCAAAGUUGGUGGUGAAAUUGCAGGGCUCAACCCUGCAACUGCCUCCAAUACUGGUCGACUAGAGUGUGAGAGAGGAAAGUGGAAUUCCCGGUGUAGUAGUGAAAUGCGUAGAUAUCGGGAGGAACACCAGUGGCGAAGGCGGCUUUCUGGCUCACAACUGACGCUGUAGCGCGAAAGCGUGGGGAGCGAACGGG